GUGGGGAAUUUUGGACAAUGGGCGAAAGCCUGAUCCAGCCAUGCCGCGUGCAGGAUGAAGGCCUUCGGGUUGUAAACUGCUUUUGUACGGAACGAAAAGACUCCUUCUAAUAAAGGGGGUCCAUGACGGUACCGUAAGAAUAAGCACCGGCUAACUACGUGCCAGCAGCCGCGGUAAUACGUAGGGUGCAAGCGUUAAUCGGAAUUACUGGGCGUAAAGCGUGCGCAGGCGGUUAUAUAAGACAGAUGUGAAAUCCCCGGGCUCAACCUGGGAACUGCAUAUGUGACUGUAUAGCUAGAGUACGGUAGAGGGGGAUGGAAUUCCGCGUGUAGCAGUGAAAUGCGUAGAUAUGCGGAGGAACACCGAUGGCGAAGGCAAUCCCCUGGACCUGUACUGACGCUCAUGCACGAAAGCGUGGGGAGCAAACAGGAUUAGAAACCCCGGUAGUCC
rnacentral:rRNA from 1 species